CCUACGGGGGGCAGCAGUAGGGAAUAUUGCUCAAUGGGGGAAACCCUGAAGCAGCAACGCCGCGUGGAGGAUGAAGGUUUUCGGAUUGUAAACUCCUUUUGUUAGAGAAGAUAAUGACGGUAUCUAACGAAUAAGCACCGGCUAACUCCGUGCCAGCAGCCGCGGUAAUACGGAGGGUGCAAGCGUUACUCGGAAUCACUGGGCGGAAAGAGCGCGUAGGCGGGAUAGCAAGUCAGAUGUGAAAUCCUAUGGCUUAACCAUAGAACUGCAUUUGAAACUGUUAUUCUAGAGUAUGUGAGAGGUAGGUGGAAUUCUUGGUGUAGGGGUAAAAUCCGUAGAGAUCAAGAGGAAUACUCAUUGCGAAGGCGACCUGCUAGAACAUAACUGACGCUGAUGCGCGAAAGCGUGGGGAGCAAACAGGAUUAGAUACCCUAGUAGUC
rnacentral:rRNA from 1 species